AGUGAACGCUGGCGGUAGGCCUAACACAUGCAAGUCGAACGGCAGCACAGGAGAGCUCGCUCUCUGGGUGGCGAGUGGCGGACGGGUGAGGAAUACAUCGGAAUCUACCCUUUCGUGGGGGAUAACGUAGGGAAACUUACGCUAAUACCGCAUACGACCUACGGGUGAAAGUGGGGGACCGCAAGGCCUCACGCGAUUAGAUGAGCCGAUGUCCGAUUAGCUAGUUGGCGGGGUAAUGGCCCACCAAGGCGACGAUCGGUAGCUGGUCUGAGAGGAUGAUCAGCCACACUGGAACUGAGACACGGUCCAGACUCCUACGGGAGGCAGCAGUGGGGAAUAUUGGACAAUGGGCGCAAGCCUGAUCCAGCCAUACCGCGUGGGUGAAGAAGGCCUUCGGGUUGUAAAGCCCUUUUGUUGGGAAAGAAAUCCUGUCGAUUAAUACUCGGUGGGGAUGACGGUACCCAAAGAAUAGGCACCGGCUAACUUCGUGCCAGCAGCCGCAGUAAAAC
rnacentral:rRNA from 1 species